UGGGAUUUAGUUUUAUUUUUUUCCUUUUUUUCACUUGUCUGUUUCAAGCGUUUCUUAUUACUUUGAGAGGAAUGAAAGUUUCUAGGAAAUAUUGAUCCAAAAUUUUUAUAAAUUUUAUCAUUUUUUACAAAGUAUUUUACCAAUUAUUAUUAAAAUUUAAUUGAGCAAAAAAUUAGGUAAAAUAUAAAGUAGCAUACAAUAUGCCCAUGAAAAUUACUUGUCAUUAAUAUUAAUACACAGGGGAACGAAUUCAGCCCAUCUAGCUUUCAGGAGGAGUCCUGCACCAAGGAAAAUUUUGACUGACACAACAUUCUAAAAGCAAACCACCGCUCUCUAGUCGUCUUUCACUAUUAUUUAUUGAACAAAUAGAUCAUGAUUUAUACAAUAAGCAGAAAUUUUAUCAUGGAAAGUUAUUUGAUAGACAAAGAAACACCGAGGAACAGACUAAACACCUUGUGGAUGUAUCUGUUCUAUCUGGCACACUGGGCAAACAAAUUGCGUAGGUUCAUCAUUGUCAAAUAAUAUCCCGCCAGAUUCUAUUUCUAGAUUUAUGAGACCCAAAUGCUUGCAGUUGAAGACAAAAAUAGGUUUAUGCUUAUGGCUGGGUUGUCGAAGAACUCUGGAGCAGAAUACACAAACAGAGAAGGCAAGAGGUAUCAUUGAGAACCGUAUUGGCUGUUGCUUGCCAUUACUCAGAAAGUUGUAAUGGAGGCAAGAAGAAAUGAGAGUUAAUAUAGAACUUAUAAAACCAAAAGAAUCUGCAAACUCCCAC
rnacentral:lncRNA from 1 species